rnacentral:tRNA from 1 species
GGCUCCAUAGCUCAGUGGUUAGAGCACUGGUCUCGUAAACCAGGGGUCGUGAGUUCAAUUCUCGCUGGGGCCU